GAAGAGAGACGUGAUGACAGUAGUAGCGUCGAUAGCACUUUCUAGCUGCCCAGUGCUCUUCUAGGACUGGUACAUACACUGACUCAUUUUGCCUGCGUGUUGAUGAUCUUCUCAAUCUGCAGAGGAAGAGACUGUGGCACAAAGAGCUGGCCAAGAAGGUGUAUAUUUAUAUGGCUUGCAAAGCAGCCAAAGGGAACUUCAAAAGGAGCCUUCCUGUGGGGUUAGCAGUGAAUGAAUAACGGCUGGACAGACAGAGCAAAGAGAAAUACUAUGGAUUAAACUUGGUACCUUCACACUGAACCACAUCCCGCCCCUACCCUCCUUUUUUUAAGUUUUAAGACAGGGUCUCACUAAAUGCUCAGACUGGGCUGGAGCUUGAGAUUCUUCUAUCUCAGCCUCCCAGAGUGCCGGGAUUAGAGGCAUGCACUACUGCAUCCAGUUUAUAAACACUUUUACAUUUAGCUAGAUGUAGUUCUUCUUCAUCUUUAUAAAUUAAUUAUAUUUUUGUAAGAACAUGGAAGUAAUUUAAACAUAACAUAGUUCUAAGUCUCAAACAGCUAAGACUGGACUAAAUUGGAACCUCCUCCUACCAAAUCAUAGUCCUUAGAAAAACUUAUGCAAGAGUUCAAUUUGCAACCAAAAAAUGAAUACCUCUUCACUUAUUAAAAAUUUGUAGGGCUGGGAAUUUAGCUCAGUGGUUUCAACGGCUGCUGCACAAGUGCAAGGACCUGAGUUCGAUCCCCAGUACCAAAAAAAAAAAAAGUUUUUGAAAAUAAUUUUGCAAGUCUCACCAUGGCACCAGGUGGUAAGUAAUAAAUUUUAUAUUCCUUCUGAGCGGAGGGGCUGGGGUUAAAAUGGCAGGUGUUAAAUCCCCAUCUUACCAUUUACCAGCUCUGUGACCUUGAGCAAACUACUAACCCAGUUACUUAUCUUUUAGCUAGAGAUAAUAAGGAACUAUCUGGUUAGCGGUGAGGAUUAGGUGAUCACACCUAGUGGCUGACACAUCCUCAGUCCCCAGCAUGUCAGCUGGGGGCGUCAUUCUUAUUAAAAGACCAGCAGCUUCUCUGCACUGUGACCAUUCUUGAGUGUGUACACUAUAUGUUGUGUUUUCGAUCACAAGUCUAGUAAAUAAUAUUUACUAACAAUGAUUUAUGGGAUAAGAAUAUCAAUCAUGAAAUUCGGCUCUUGUAAGUGAAAUACCAGAUGUCAGUAUCAGAGGUGCCCAAAUAAACGGAAGAAACACUGUAAGGGUUCCACAGCAAAAGUGUGAAGAACAUGAAUAUCGGGCACAUUUGGGGGGAGUCUCUUUAAUAUUAGCAGUGCUGGUUGUCUUGUAGAAGAGAAGACCAGAAUUCUGUCUUGGGACGGUCUACAGUUCAGCAGGACCCUGAAGUAUAAAGACAUCUUUCAUUCACCAGAGCUCACAAAAUACAUUCAUCCCUAAUUUCUUACACUGACCAAGAAUAACAAUUGGCAAAAUUCACUUAUGCCUUGUUAAAAGUUGUCCCUUGAAUAAUACAGAAAAGAAAAUCAAAGAUUAAUUUGUCGGAAGCCAUGAGUCACAACUUAAGUCAACUUUAUUGCUCCCUCCUAGCCCACUGCUUUGCACACAGAAAUGAACAGAAUUAACUGGAAUGUAAAAUGAGGAAGUUGGACAAAAAAAUGUUUAAGGUUCCUUCUGAUUUUAAAUUUCAUGAAUGACAAACUGCCUAAAUAAUCAAACCAGCAUGGAGAGCUAAACACAAGAACCCACCACUGCUAAUGAAAAUGAUUGAAGCUACUUCUCCUUUCUUAAUUUCAAUUAAUAUGAGCAUGAUCAAUCCUCUGCUUUUGACUUCAGUGUUUAAUUUUAUUAUUAUAGUAUUAGGAAUAUGCCUACUCUCUAGUUUCUAGAAACAUAAGCAAACUAACAACUCUGAGAAAUACAUACAUAUAUACACUUCAGAGCUGGAGGUAUGAAAGACAUUUUUAAAAAUAAUUCCUAAUCUUUAGUAUAUUUACGGGGCAUUAGUGUUAUUUAAUACAACAACUCUCCUGGAAAAAAGAAACCAACCUUAAAAUAAGAGUUUUCCAGGAAUAAAGGGAUGAUUGCAACAGAAAAAUACCAGAAAGGUAUAACCUUUGUAUUAUUUAGCAAUUUAAACCUUAUAAACAGACAGUGCACUUUUAAAAUCUAAUCACAGCUACAGAACUGGUGAAUAUAUUUUAGGAGAUACUGAUUACUUAUGAGAACAAAGCACAGUCGAAGUUGAAGGAUUAAAUUCCUCUUCAAUCCAGUCACUCACAUGUCUGUGUUUAAGUCACAAAGUGUUUAUGAGUCUGCUGUACAUUCUAGGCAUCAAUCCCCUUUCCAGAGAGCAAAAAAAUCCUAAUCUGACACAUUCCAAAUUGAAACAGAUUCAUCAGCAUUUUGCGUCUAUCAGAAUAGCUCCUAAAAAGCCUUUAGCAAAGGUGACUUGUAUGUGGAGAAUUAAAACACACAAAGAUUUAUAAAUCAAAAUGUAUGCUCUUUCAUUUUCUGAACCACAUGUAGGAGGAAAACUAUGAGUUAAAGAGAAAAGCCAGAGCGGACCACUGUUCCUUCACAGAAGCUAGCAAAUAAAGAAAGCAGGCACAAAACACCUGGAUUUGCUUUCCUGUUUCCUUGCCAGUGACUUUAAAAAAACAUAAGAUUAGCUAACAGUCAAAUAAACCUCCAGAGCAAUGAAUUACACACAGACUCACAGACACUCUCACACAAGAGAGCAAAGCUAAUGCUAUUUAAAUAUCAUGAAAUAUUUUCCUAACCACGCACAGAUGGAAGUGAGAACUUUUGUGCCAAAUGCCUAGUUCAGAAACUUUGCUCUAUUUUUAAUUAUCUGGUUUAGAGGACCCGUUUGUGAUUAACUUCUGUGUUGGAUGGCAAAACAAGUAAAGUUCUUGACCCACAGCAAAGUACACAGAGAGAAGUUUAAUAAUUUUUAAACAGCCAGUGUAAUAUUGUAAAUCACAUGUAGGGACAACUAAUUUGUCAAAGACCUGUUGAUGGUCGUUGUAGCGUGAAGCUGUGAAGCGUAUCAGGAGAGUAGAAAAAUCCAAGAGGUCUUUAGUAAGUGACAUCAAAAUGAAGUUCUUAGUGACAAGCAGAUUUUAGUCACUGGGAAAUAACAAUGGAUCGAGAAAUAGAGAGGAAGAAAUUAAUAGUGCUAAGGCCUGAUCUGAGUGCAACAAGUUUCAAUUUGAGUAGGAGCUGUGAAUGGAAUAUGCCAACAGCUUUGAGCACAGGGAAUAGACUCAGCUGCAAAGAGACGUUGGUCAGGAAGCUCAAACCAUCAUAUCCAGAAUCAUACACUGGAACUGCUAAGCAGUGAAAUCCCAGAAGAGAAGUAGGAAGGGAAGAAGUGGCCUAGCGAUGACAAAAGAUGGCCAAGGUAAGAAGGAUGAAUAGGUUGAGAUGCUUUCAAAUUUGUAAGGGCUAUGAAUUUUUUUCAAGUAGUUUUUAAGUAAGAAAACAAUAAACACAAGUAUAAAUUAGUAUAAACAGAGAGGAAAUAAAAUAUAAGGCAUGCAGACAAGAACUUUGAAGAUAGAAGGUUAAAACCUAGGGGGCCUUUAUUUCUAGAGCUCUCUCUUGAUCAUCAAUUCUGCUGUGUUACAAUAGCUGUAUUUAUAGCCAGGCAUGGCGUCAUGCCCCUGUACUCCCACUUGCUUGCAAGGCUGAAACAGGAGGAUCACUUGAGCCCAGGAGUUUGAGACUAGCCAGGGGAACAUAGUUAGACCCUCCCAUUAAAAAAAUGGAUAUUCUGUAUUUUAGUCCAUAAGGGAUCUGGGGGAACCUCAGAGUGUACUGAAUCAAAAACUAUAGAGAGUAGUUCAGGAGUAAUAGUUAACGCUUCCUAUUCCCUAAUAGAUCCCUCUCUACUUUCAGAUCUCUUUUUCCCAGUCUCCAUAUAUGAAAGAAAACACCCGACACCUGUCUUCCUGUGUCUGACUUACUGUGUUUAAAAGUGGGAAUGAUCAAGGCAAGAUAUAUGCAUGGAUAGAAAUACCCAAGUGGAACCCAAGUGAAUGUGUACAAUUAACAUGGAAAUGCCCAAGUGAAUGUGUACAAUUAACAUGAGUUAAUAAAAAUAAAAAGAAAGUUGUCCUCUCAUAGGCAUAACAAUAAAGCAAGGUUCACUAAUUCAAAAAAUAGUUAAUGCUAAAAAUUAAGACUGAACUCACUGAUUCUGGACUCUGAGGCCAGGAUCAAUGCCAGAAUGAAUGGUCUGUUUGUCUGUUUGCUUGUUUGCAGUACUGAGGACUGAACCUGGGGAGCAUCACACUUUAUCUCCACCCCCUCCUUUUUUAGACACUAAAUUCCCCAGCUGCCUUGAACUCUUGCACGAGCAUGUCUUGCUUUGAUCCAGGGAUUUAAAACCGAAAGAAUAAGCACCUCCUUUCUCCUGGGGGGGUGCACAAUGGAUAAUCAAAUCAGACCACCCCUUGCAAAGGACCCUUAAUUUUGAAGCUCAGCUCCUUACAGCACUAACUCUGGCUACUAGCUUUGGGCUCGGUUGGAUGACGGGGCAAGACCCUUAGAAAGAGCCAUUCAUAUUUGUGGGUAAUCACCAAAGUUUGGCAGUUGGAGGCAAUUACAGAAACCAUCGUGAGGAGAAGAGAAAAAGUAACCUGUUCCAGGGAUCAAAAUAAAGUUGACUUCUACGAUUAUAUAUAUUCCUGUUGCUCCUCUACUAGGCAAAUAGGUGAGCUACAAGUGUAUGAUUGUGUGCGUCGGCAAGAGACUAGAAUUAAAAUAAGACAGUUUUUUUUAAAGCACAUCUACAACUGAAUUAUUUAUAGUUGCAAAUGGCUUCAUAUUACCAACUUAUUAUUACUGCAUACUCCGGCUGUGGCUUAGAAAUGUUUGUAUUUCAUUUAGAAAUAUUUCUAUUUGCCAUAACACUGGCCACUGUGAUGGGAUUUGACCUGUAUCGUUGUCCAUAAAACAAUCCUACAAGAUAUGUAAACAGGAAUCCAAUUUUUGCUAGGUCAAAGAAAGCAAAAAUACAGUUGUCAGAACAAGAACUGCUUUCUGUGGGAUACUCUAGUUAAAUGAAAGCCAUUCAAUUCGAAUCAACUGCCGUCUCCAUCCUCCAAUACACAGCAGAUUUAUAUUUCAGAAGGUUUUUGACAGAGAACAAAAUGUUACUGAAAUAUCUCUUCCAUUCCUUGUGUCCUACAUAACAUUCCACGGGCUGAACUCCCAACAAGGGGCAUAUAUUUGUCAGCCUCUCUUCACACUUGUUCUAUUCUAGUUUGUCUCUGUUGCAAACUUUCUGUUUUGACCUUUUCCUGACAAAACAUUACCAUACACCUUUUGGUUCCGUUACAACUUGUAAGAAAGAAAAAACAAAACUUAUGCUUUUAUUCUGUAUCCCUUCAGGCGCCCAUAACUUUUUAAAAAUAACCCCUGCUAUUUAAAUCAGGGAUAGAACAUUUUUUAAAUAUCUGCUUAUGUAAACACUAGAAAUCCAGGGAGAGAAUUCUUCCAAUCCAACAAUCCACACAUUCCUACACAAAACCAAUCACUGGCAUAUUUAAAAGCUGGAGCUGGGGCGAGAGACAGGCUAGAACUAGCUGAAACAAGUCUGUGCAGGAUGAAUUAAUUUAUCCUCCACUGCUUCUACUCCAGGUCACCCCGGGAUAUGGCCGUGGGCAACCUCCAAGAUGGAAAGAAUGGAUAGGUGCCUUGUUUCUAGCGGGUCGGUGCAAAGACUCCCCGAGAGCCCAAGAGGGAAGUGCUGUUCAGCAAGCGACAAAAGGUGAUCAAGCAACAUUCAACUGGGUCCGGGUCAUGAAUGACUAAGCCCGCACCAGCUCAAAACCAGUCGGAAACAGACUCCGGACAAUGGGAGAGAGUUAAAGCAUUGGCUCUCAGGGGACGAUGUCCAACAGGAGGUGUCCGAAGCUGGGUGUCAUCCUUUAGGGUGGCCCACAAUAAAAUGGUGACACAUUAUGCCUCCUGGCGAGUUCAAUAAGACACCAAGUCUGGAGGACUUCCAACGAAGAUCUUGGGGCAAGAAGAGAUGUCCACCAGCACUUUCUGUUCUGUGACCUGUUAGAGAGAAACAUUCUUAGCUACUCCAACACCAAGCACAACUCCCCGCCAGGCUGUAUCUCCUCGAAUCCUGGAGACAAAGCUGUGAAGAGGGCCAGGGAUAUAGCUCAGUGGCAGCACCUGCCUGGCAAGUGCAAGGUCCUGAGUUCCAUCCCUGGUAUCAAAAAAAAAAAUCUGUGAAGAAACUGAAGGGGGACAUCUAAGGGGGAGACCACCUUUGUCUCAUCUGCAGUCCCACUAACAAGGUCUUCAGUUAUAAAGGCUUCAGUCACCAUUAAAG
rnacentral:lncRNA from 1 species